GACUCGGUAGCGCGUGGUGUGCAUCUGCAACAUGUUAUCACUAAUAGUAUGGUGAUGCAGACAAUCCUGGUUCGAUUCCAGGCCGAGUCA